rnacentral:rRNA from 1 species
AACGAACGCUGGCGGCAGGCUUAACACAUGCAAGUCGAACGCCCCGCAAGGGGAGUGGCAGACGGGUGAGUAGCGCGUGGGAACAUACCCUUUCCUGCGGAAUAGCUCUGGGAAACUGGAAUUAAUACCGCAUACGCCCUACGGGGGAAAGAUUUAUCGGGGAAGGAUUGGCCCGCGUUGGAUUAGCUAGUUGGUGGGGUAAAGGCCUACCAAGGCGACGAUCCAUAGCUGGUCUGAGAGGAUGAGCAGCCACAUUGGGACUGAGACACGGCCCAAACUCCUACGGGAGGCAGCAGGGGGGAAUAUGGGACAAUGGGCGCAAGCCUGAUCCAGCCAUGCCGCGUGAGUGAUGAAGGUCUUAGGAUUGUAAAAUCCUUUCACCGGUGAAGAUAAUGACUGUAGCCGGAGAAGAAGCCCCGGCUAACUUCGUGCCAGCCGCCGCCGUAACAC